GGGGCGAUUACCGUAAUUUAUACACAUACCACGCACCUCCUGCUCUGUCGUGUAUCUGAUCAGCUAUUACCCAGUUGCGGGUGGUGGCGUCAUUGCCACUCUCUCCAUUCGAGGGCAGUCCCGUGGCCUGUUGAUGGGUUUUGAGAUGACUGAAGAGUCCAGUCCUUGAUCCCGCAGAAGUUAGAGGUCUUUCCUUAGAGGAGAGCAGGCUGCAGGUUGGGGCUCCUCUCCUCUUCUUUUCUCUUCUCUGCUUCGAGGGCAAGACAUGUCACCUCAAAAGGGGCUGUCGCUUGGUGGAGGUUGCGGCGCCAUUGGAGUCGCUGAGCAGUCGGCUUCUCCCAACUCUUGCUGUUGACAUCCAUUGUCUUGAGGGACGCCUGCCAUGCCUCCUUGUCCGGUUUCCUCGGCCGCUGCCGCGAGAUCUCAGGCUGCGACUGACCUGGGAGCAGAGCACUUGUUUUGGGAGUCAAGAGUCAGGCCUUUAUGCACAGUGUCCGGUCCAGUGAAGUUGGUGUGUGAGGAUCUCCAACUCCAUGCUAGUAAUAUUGGCUUUGGCAAGGAUGCUGCAGUUCCACUGUGAUCUUCCCAUUGAAUGCAAAGGAUUUUCUGGAGGCAGCAUUGGUGACACCUCUCCCGGCUCUUGAGGUGACAAUGGAUCUGCUCUCUGCUGCCGUAUGACACAGGAGACUGGGCAAGAUGGACCUAGGGUCUGACCAAGGAUGUGCAGUUCAUAUGUUCUUAUGUUCUUGAAAGCGUUAAGGCUGAUUAACUGGAAGGCAGGUAUAACAUCCCAUCACUUGACACAGCCACCCCAGAGGGUUCCUUCUUGUGUGUCAUUCUGUUUUCCUAACACUCCUACGCUGUCCCCGUGUGAACCAACAAUUAAAGGAAACUGCUGUGCACACACGCACACACACAGCUCUGUUGUCUUAUGGAGUAGAGAUGUUACUCACGCAUUCGAGCAUGCAGUGGGGGGUUAGGGAUUUCCAGAGACUCCCCUGGUGCCUGGGACUCUCCAUGUCUUCCUUGUUGGCAGUGUGGUGUGGUUGUAUGAAGCUGAAGGCUUCCUGAGCUGUGCUGCAGUACAUAAGACCAGCCAUUUUCUGAGUCCGACCCUAGGUCCAUCAUGCCCAGUCUCCUGUGUCACACCAGGGCAGAGAGGAGGUGAUGAAAGGGAAAGUGAACUGGGUCUGACCAGGGUUUUUCCCCCCGUUCCUCUCCCACUUGCAGUCUCCAGCAUUUAAGGUCUGGGGAGUUCUAAUUCAGAGACAUUGCCCCUUGCUGCCAUGCUCAAUAGCUACUGCUGCCCCUUUCCUCCAAGAACAUGUCCAGUCUUCUGUGAAUCUGGCUAAACUCUCAGUUUCCACUACAUCUGGUGGCAGCAGGUCCUACCCUUUAAUGCCACACUGGGUAAAAAAGAACUGUCUUGUGUUCAUUUUAAAUUAUCUGCUAGUCUCACAUUGUGACCCUAUGUGUGGGGAUGUGGCUCAGUGUUGACUUUCUCUGCUACUCUCAGCCCAGCUAUGUCAAGAGGCAGAAGCCACCCUCUGACUAGAGAUGGACCAGAUGUGCUGGAAGCUAGGGGGUUUGAUGCUUUCCAAUCCCUUUGGAGCUCCUCCUGUUUCCCCUGUCACUUGCCCCACCUCUCUCCAACUCCCCACAUCUUUGAUUUCCCCUCAAUCUCUUUGGCUUUUCUAUCAUUUAAUCCUUCUACUAAUUACGCCCUUCCCCCCUGUCACAACCCAAAGUUGUGAUUUUUGUUUUUGUGUGCUUUGGCACCACUGAAUUAUUUUC